GCCUCUUGCGGAUUGAGUAGAGAGGAGUUUCUCAAGCCAGAUAAGAGCACAGUCUGCAAGGACUGUUCGAGACUGGUCGCUCUCUAAGGAACAAGAGUUUCCUAAGAAAACCGGAAUACCGUGGAAAUGCCUCACCUGAACUUUCCAGACCACAUUCACAUGGGCCGUGCGAUGUAAAGGAUUUUACAGCGCCAAACAAGGAAACUGAGGGAUCCAGAAGUUACAGGCUGUACAAUGUCAUCUGGCCGUGAGUCUGUAGGGGAUCUGAUUCCCCCAGAUAUGCUGCAGGUGUUCAGUGAGGACCGGCAGGGCGGCAGGGGCAAAAGGGGCAGGAGAAGGGCAGCAUCCUUCAGGCGUGCCUUCAAGUGGUUGAAGAGGCAGCGCAGGAAAACCCGCCGACGCGCUACAGAGAUACAUGGAGACCUGCUUGCCACUGGUUCACCUGUAGAACUACCAAAAUCAUCACUUGUCACAGGCCCUAAAGAGGAAGUUGUGGGAGCUAUUUCUCUUCAGGAGUUCCAAGAAAAUGUGUUUGUGGAGGGUAAUCGGCCUAAAUAUGUGUUGGACCUGCACACAGAGGCACAGCAGGGCCUGAAAAUGCAGCAGCAAGAGGGUGAGAAGUCGUCAAACUUCAAAUCAGUGUCUGUUUAAAUUACACACUUUUACUCUGAAUCAAACACAUGCAUUUCCUAAACAUACAGCAGUUUAUUUUUUUUGAUAAUGUUUAAUAAGGGGUAAUGUUUUAUAUUCCAGAUGAUAGGAAUGGGAUGGACUACCCUGAUGACCAAAGUAUGAUUGUAAGUGUUCCUCCAUGCAUCAAUGAACCCUCAAUUCCGGUUAUGAAUGCAUUUACUUCU
ensembl:lncRNA